GAUGAACGCUGCCAGAAUGCUUAACACAUGCAAGUCAACUGUGGCGGACGGGUGAGUAACGCGUAAAGAACUUGCCUUACAGCUAGGGACAACAUUUGGAAACGAAUGCUAAUACCUGAUACUGUGAGAGAGAUUUGCGUCCCAUUCGCUAGUGGGAGAGGUAACGGCUCACCAAGGCGAGGCUGGGUAGCCGGCCUGAGAGGGUGAACGGCCACAAGGGGACUGAGACACGGCCCUUACGCCUACGGGAGGAAGCAGUGUGGAAUAUGGGACAAGGGACCAAAGUCUGAUCCAGCAAUUCGGUGGGUACGAUGAAGUUUUCGGAAUGUAAAGUGCUUUCAGUGGGGAAGCGGUACCAACAGAAGAAGUGACGGCUAAAUACGUGCCAGCAGCCGCGGUAAUUC
rnacentral:rRNA from 1 species